ACGUUGAAACACCCGUUUCCGUACGCUCACUGAAGUUAAGCAACCUCAAACUUGGUCAGUACCUAGAUGGGUGACCGUUUGAGAAUAGCAAGUGAUGUA